AAUAGAUACCCAGGUAGUCCACGCCGUAAACGAUGGAUGCUAGCUAUUGGGGGGAAUCGACCCCCUCCGAAGCGAAGCUAACGCGUUAAGCAUCCCGCCUGAGUAGUACGAGCGCAAGCUUAAAACUCAAAGGAAUUGACGGGGACCCGCACAAGCGGUGGAGCGUGUGGUUUAAUUCGAUGGUAAACGAAGAACCUUACCAAGGUUUGACAUCCCGGUAGCCGUUCUCCGAAAGGAGAAUUUCAUUUAGUUGGACCGGUGACAGGUGAUGCAUGGCCGUCGUCAGCUCGUGUCGUGAGAUGUUGGGUUAAGUCCCGCAACGAGCGCAACCCUUAUGAUUUAGUUGGAUUUUCUAAACAGACUGCCCUGGUAACAGGGGGAAGAGGGGAUGAUGUCAGGUCAGUAUUUCCCUUACACCUUGGGGCGACACACGCGCUACAAUGGCCGGUACAAUGGGCAGCUAAGCCGCGAGGUGGAGCAAAUCCCAUCAAAGCCGGUCCCAGUUCGGAUUGCAGGCUGAAACCCGCCUGCAUGAAGCCGGAAUCGCUAGUAACC
rnacentral:rRNA from 1 species